ACUAAAGGCCCCCCGGGUUCGUCUACUGGACUGCCUGCCGAGCAGCCUGACGCCGGCGCGGCCCCGGAGGAAUUUUCUGUGGCGACUCAAGUGCUGUGGACACGGGCUGUGCGCUCAGCGGCGCCGUGGGCGGUGCUGUUUGUGGCGGGCGCUGACAGGCUUGAGUGUAGACGCCUCUCUCUCUACCGAGGGCUUCUCGCGGCCGCCAUCUUGGGAGUGGCGUGUCGCGUCGUGUCGCGGACUCGCUUGACCUUCUCAAGAGGGCGGCCAAAAGAGCGGGAAAAACGAGGACCCCCCGUAUGUCUACUUGACUGCCUGCACAGCACCCUGGCGCCGGCGCGGCCCGGUAGGAUUUUCUGUGGCGUUUGAAGUGCUGUGGACACGGACUGUGUGCUCAGUGGCGCCGCCGGUCGUGUUUCGGCGGGUUGCUAACAGGCAUUGGCGAAAACGCCUCUGUUUGCCGAGGUCUUCUUACGGCCGCCAUCUUGGGAGUACCGUGUCGCGGACUCGCUUGACCUUCUCAAGAGGGCGGCAAAAAAAAGCGGGAAAAUCCUGUUUAGACGAUAAUAGCCGAAUUUAGCCGAAGAACCGAAAAUAGCCGAAUGUAGCCGAUAAUUGCCGAGUGUAGCCGAAGAGCCGAAAAUAGCCGAUAAUUGCCGAGUGUAGCCGAAGAGCCGAAAAUAGCCGAUAAUUGCCGAGUGUAGCCGAAGAGCCGAAAAUAGCCGAUAAUUGCCGAGUGUAGCCGAAGAGCCGAAAAUAGCCGAUAAUUGCCGAGUGUAGCCGAAGAGCCGAAAAUAGCCGAUAAUUGCCGAGUGUAGCCGAAGAGCCGAAAAUAGCCGAUAAUUGCCGAGUGUAGCCGAAGAGCCGAAAAUAGCCGAUAAUUGCCGAAGAGCCGAAACAAGCCUAGUGUAGACGAACAAGCGAGCCGAACAAGCCGAAUUCAGCCGAGUUUAUUUGAAGAGACCCGACCGUCGCCGCCUUCAGCCGAAUCGAAGGAGCUGAACCGAACCAAGGCGAGACCAGCCGAACCUUACGACGUCGACGGAACCGAGGGCGAUGGCUGGGCAGCACCGAGCUUCGUGUGUCGAACGUGAGGCCGCGCCGCCCUCAGAGUUCAGCCGAGCUCUGCCGAACCAAGCCGAGUGCAGCCGAACCGAGCAGAGUAAUUCAAAAAGCAGAAACAAAGCCACCGAGUCUCAGCAGCAGGCCCAGCACAGGAAGGUAGGCUUGGAAUUUUCUUUGCUAAGCUGUAGGUGUAUUCAAGACAUCUUUCCUUUUUGUUUGACAGAAGCAAGACAAAAAAUAAUUCUUACCAAAACAGGAUGUUUUCUUUCCUGUCUAUCAAGCAGCCAGAUACCACCAGCUAGCUAUCCAUACUUUAAAAUCAGCUAGAGAACUUGCAUUCCAGAGAGCUGGGACUGUGAGGAAAGCUCCAGCCUGCUCUGUUAAUUGUUAAACACCCCUGGAACAGCAGAGAGGUUGGAGGAGGGUGGAAGAGUUCCAGUGUCCCAGUACCCAAGGAAACCCACCUGGUCGGGUCAGGUCACUCUUAGGCAGUGCUGCAACUGACCUCAGCCUAGACAAAAUCACAGAACUAAAGCUGAGCUAAGAUACAGCUGGAAAAGUCUUUCUUUUUGGAUGUUUAUACACACCAUUGAAACAAAUGUUAAUGGUCUCCAUCCCAGCAGGGCGAUCAUCAGCUGCCUUGGCAGGCAGAUGGGUUUGAAAUCAGUGGUGCCAUGCUCCAGACCUUCUGUCUUAUUUCUGUGGGAUGGUACAGUGCUGACAAAAGGGACUGGGACAUGGAUCCCUCUCUGCAGGGCUUGGACAGGCAUCAGCCUUCCCCCUCUCCCAAACUCACCCACCAAAACUGGCACCAAACCCUUGGGGAUUGCAGGGAAGUGUGUGCUGCAAUCAGACCGGGGAUUCACGUCCAGGAGAUCUCCGUGCCUCAGGAUUCAGCUGUGCCUGAGAGAGGAGAGCUGUGGCCUUUUGGAGGACACCUGGCAGGGACUGGUUUCUGUGCAGAUGUGCAGGGUGAGCUGGGAGAGCACAGGGGUCCUGCCCGUGCCUGGGCUCGGCAGAGAUGGAUGAGCACAGAAAGGAUGAAGGUGAAAGCUCUCCAGCCUUGACCGGUGACGUGAGCAGGCGCUGGCUGGAGCAGGACAUACACAGCAGAACAAGGAAAAGAAAGGUCACGAAGGCAGCGAGGCCCACCCAGAAGGCGAUGACGAUGGAGUCUGUGGGCACAGCAGAGGGAUUGUGUCACAUGCCCUUUUUGCACGGCAGAAAUGAAACACAGCAAGAGGAAAGAGGGUGCGCAUCUUGUCUCCAGAAGCAGUUUCUACAAAUUUCAAGAACACUGGCAGCUGAAGAAAAAUUCCCUACCAACUGCCAGGGAGGGAAGUGCUAUAACACAAAUGCCACCUCUGUAAUGCACCAGGUAAUAUCCAAAUGGUAGAAAAAUGUUAUUAAGGAGAAAACAGGGGAAACGUUUAUUCCUGAUUCCUGGGUUUUGCUAUGCCAGUGAGACUUACAUCUAGCUUAGCUAAGCAGUUUGGGGUUUCCCUGGUGGAAUUUGGGGGUAAUCAUCUGCCCUAACUUUAAACUAAGAGAAUCAGAGGAGCUGCUCAUAAUUUGGCUGGUCUCAGCAGCUCCAAGUGCUGCUCUGCAGCAUUGGAGAGCAAGAUUUUCUGUAUGGAGGGAUGUGGAUACUCACAUCACUUUCUUUAAGGUGUGGUGCUCUAAGUUUGGAGGCAGUAAACCCUCAGCUGAUCUGAAAGCACAGAAAAGCUUUUCCAGAGGUGGUGCAGAGCAAGUUUCUGCUCCUUUUUGCUACUGCUGUCCAAGCAAGCGAAGGACAAGCAGCUCCUAACACCAUUCACCAUCAGAUGAAGGCAGUUUCUUGCAUUGUUAAUGAGAGAGACAUUAAGAUAUUCUGAAAGGCAAUCACAUUUUCCUAGAAUAUAUAAUAAUUUCAUUGUAAUAACCUUGUGAAAAACAAUUUUAGUCUCUGAAUCCACAUCUGAACAGUUUUAGGCAUCUUCAGGGAUGGGAGGGAAGGUCAAAGAAUAUGUUUGCAGCUUAUUGUUCCUGGCUAGUGGAAACAUACAUUUCCUAUACUAAAAGUGAAUGCUUACCAGUUGCAAUGCCAGCCUUGUCCCAGGAUGAAAACAGUGUUUUUAUGAAAAAACCUCUGCUCCUUCAGUGAACUUUGGUGACAGCAGCACACAGGUAACUAGCACCCCACAAUACAGAUCCACAAGUCAUCACAUUUCCCCUUAGCAAAUGACUCAUAAAAAAAUCUGCCCUUGUAAACAAGAAUUAGUGUCAGCAGUCUUAUAGCUUCAGAUACUGUAAGAUAAAGCCCAGAGGGUUUGUUAGUAAUUAUCCAGCCUGAAGGCAAACACCCAUUCACACAAACCAGGCACUGGCAUGGACUCUGUUGCAAGGAAACAAAACCAGGUCAGUGAGACAAGCUACGCAACAUUUUCCCUGUGCUACAGUAGCAUAUACC